rnacentral:rRNA from 1 species
GUAGGGAAUAUUGGGCAAUGGAGGCAACUCUGACCCAGCCAUGUCGCGUGCAGGAUGACGGCCCUCUGGGUUGUAAACUGCUUUUAUACGGGAAGAAAAAAUACUACGUGUAGUAUACUGACGGUACCGUAAGAAUAAGGAUCGGCUAACUCCGUGCCAGCAGCCGCGGUAAUACGGAGGAUCCAAGCGUUGUCCGGAUUUAUUGGGUUUAAAGGGUGCGUAGGCGGAUCUUUAAGUCAGUGGUGAAAGCCUGCAGCUUAAAUGUAGAAUUGCCAUUGAAACUGAAGAUCUUGAAUGUGGUUAAAGUAGGCGGAAUGUAUCAUGUAGCGGUGAAAUGCUUAGAUAUGAUACAGAACACCGAUAGCGAAGGCAGCUUGCUGAACCAUUAUUGACGCUGAGGCACGAAAGCGUGGGGAGCGAACAGGAUUAGAAACCCCAGUAGUCC